AGUGAACGCUGGCGGUAGGCCUAACACAUGCAAGUCGAACGGCAGCACAGUAAGAGCUUGCUCUUACGGGUGGCGAGUGGCGGACGGGUGAGGAAUACAUCGGAAUCUACUUUUUCGUGGGGGAUAACGUAGGCAAACUUACGCUAAUACCGCAUACGACCUACGGGUGAAAGCAGGGGAUCUUCGGACCUUGCGCGAUUGAAUGAGCCGAUGUCGGAUUAGCUAGUUGGCGGGGUAAAGGCCCACCAAGGCGACGAUCCGUAGCUGGUCUGAGAGGAUGAUCAGCCACACUGGAACUGAGACACGGUCCAGACUCCUACGGGAGGCAGCAGUGGGGAAUAUUGGACAAUGGGCGCAAGCCUGAUCCAGCCAUACCGCGUGGGUGAAGAAGGCCUUCGGGUUGUAAAGCCCUUUUGUUGGGAAAGAAAAGCAGCAGGUUAAUACCCCGCUGCUCUGACGGUACCCAAAGAAUAAGCACCGGCUAACUUCGUG
rnacentral:rRNA from 1 species